GGCCCGGUGGGGGAAUGGCUACCCGGGGGGCGGGAACGUCUCCUCAUCCUGGUUCAAGUCCAGGCUGGGCCUCCA
rnacentral:tRNA from 1 species